AACGAGCAUAAUGCUCUUGGACGAUCCCAUUGGGAAUUGGCGGAURAAGGGAAGGAGAGAAGGCUGACAAGAAGGUCUUUCGAAGCGACCAUAAGACGAAUUAAGGAAGAGUCAAGAGUGUGAACCAACCACAUGAUGGGAUUCAAAACUAUUAUGGUUUGCUUUUCCUUGCUGAUUGGGUGUCAGGGUGYAAGUGUGACAUCUAAUAUUACUAUUCAAGCGAGUUUUAAAGGUCGUCCAACAGGUCGUCCAACAGGUCCUCCAACAGGUUGUGAACUGCUAAGGGCGAUUCCAACACCGAAUGGGAAAGUCCCUAAACUAGGCUUUGGAUGUUUUUGCUCGUCACGAAAUGAUACAGGUAAUAGUGGAUGAACAUU